GAGCACGUAGGUGGGUUUGUAAGUCAGAUGUGAAAGCCUUCUGUUCAACGGAAGAAUUGCAUCUGAAACUGCGAGUCUUGAGUGUAGGAGGGGAGAAUGGAACUUCUGGUGGAGCGGUGAAAUGCGUAGAUAUCAGAAGGAACGCCGGCGGCGAAAGCGAUUCUCUGGCCUAUUACUGACACUCAGUGUGCGAAAGCUAGGGGAGCAAACGGGAUUAGAUACCCCGGUAGUCCUAGCCGUAAACGAUGGGCACUAAGUAGAGGGAAUUACCGAUAUUCUCUCUGCCGUAGCUAACGCAUUAAGUGCCCCGCCUGGGGAGUACGGCCGCAAGGCUAAAACUCAAAAGAAUUGACGGGGGCUCGCACAAGCGGUGGAGCAUGUGGCUUAAUUCGAUGCAACGCGAAAAACCUUACCGGGGCUUGACAUGAUAGAAGUAGGAACCCGAAAGGGUAACGAACGGUAUCCAGUCCGUAGCUAUUACAGGUGUUGCAUGGCUGUCGUCAGCUCGUGUCGUGAGACGUUGGGUUAAGUCCCCUAACGAGCGAAACCCUUGUUUUUAGUUGCCAGCGGGUUGUGCCGGGCACUCUAGAAAGACUGCCGUCGUCAAGACGGAGGAAGGUGGGGACGACGUCAAGUCAUCAUGGCCCUUAUGCCCCGGGCUGCACACGUGCUACAAUGGUCGGUACAAACGGAAGCGAAGCCGAGAGGUGAAGCGAAUCC
rnacentral:rRNA from 1 species